CAUAUACUCCCUCCGUCCGAAAAUACUUGUCAUCAAAAUGGAUAAAAGGGGAUGUAUCUAGAACUAAAAUACGUCUAGAUACAUCCCCUUUUGUUCAUUUUGAUGACAAGUAUUUCCGGACGGAGGGAGUAUCAA
rnacentral:pre_miRNA from 1 species